rnacentral:lncRNA from 1 species
AGAGGCCAGGGAUAAAACCUGCAAGCUCAUGGAUGCUGGCUGGAUUCGUUUCUGCUGAGCCACGACGGGGACUUCCUGAAGUCUUUUUUAAACAUACAAAAAACAGAAUAUCUGCUUGGGGAAGGGAACGUAAUGGUAGGAAGAACAUCAGCUACCACUUACCAAACCCUUAACCACAUUCCAAGCUCUGUGCUUUCAUUGGAUCCUCAAAAUAACCCCACAAGGAAAUACCAUUCUUAUCUCCACGUUAAAGGUAAGGAAGCUGAGGCUGACAGAACCACUAGCUGUUUUGAGAGAGAAGUGCACACAACACACUAAGGGUGCUAACGGCGGUGUGAGCAUCCCAUUGUCAGGAUGUACAUGUCUGUAGAGGUAUCUGAGAAGGCCGCACAGAGGUGUGUGUGAGCUGAGCCUGGGAGGGUGAGUGGAAGAGAAAGGCUGCUCCAGCCUGAGGAAGGGACACGAGAAGGACAAGACAGGAGCCUGAGGGGUCUGUUCAUCAGUUCACUCAGGGAGGCUGCAGCAGGCAUGUGGGCAGGGAUGUACAGGAGUGAGGCAGGGGCGGGGGCGGGGGGGGCGGUGGCAGGCCAGGGCCUGAUCACAAAAGCUAUCAUGUGCCUCUGCCAUUCCCAUUCGGGCUUUUUGUUGGAGACAAGGGUGGGGAAGAGAAAUGCAGAGUCAGGUGGGUUCCCACAUUUUACCUGCCUGAAAACACCCCCACACCUGUGCCCAAUGUCAGGAUUUGAGUUUAACAGGGGUUUUUUUUUUUUUUUUUUUUUUUUUUUUGUCUUCUUAGGGCUGCACUUGCAGCAUAUGAAAGUUCCCAAGCUAGGGAUAGAAUUGGAGCUGCAGCGGCCAGCCACAGUCCCAGCCACAGCCAGAGCCACACCAGAUCUGAGCCACAUCUGGGACCUACACCACAGCUCAUGGCAAUACUGGAUCCUUAACCCACUGAAAGAGGCCAGGGAUCAAGCCCACAACCUUGGGGAUACUAGCCAGGUUUGUUAUGGAGCCAAAGUGGGAACUCCAACAGGUCUUUUUGUAGCAACACACCCGACAAAGACCAAGCUCUUAUAACUGAACCUGAAACUAAGCUGUGGGCUUAAUCCAGCCAUAGGAAGUAAUAUCCUAGAAAAGAUGCUUCCUUUUAACUUCUUUCCAGACCUCGAGUCUUAUUUGGUCUUUACAUCCCAGACUCAAAGGGACUCUCAGAAGUUUCUAAAGCCCAGAGAGAGGAAGGGACGUGACCAAGGUCACCAAGAGAGCAACAAAUGAGUAUCGAUUCUGCUAGACAGAAGCUGCGUCUGCCUCUGCUAGAUUCCCAGCACCCAGCACACAGUAGGUGCUCAGUAACAAUCUGCUGAGUGACCGAGUGGCUGACCCAUCACACUCGGCAAUU